GACGAACGCUGGCGGCGUGCUUAACACAUGCAGGUCGAACGGAAAGGCCCUGCUUUUGUGGGGUGCUCGAGUGGCGAACGGGUGAGUAACACGUGAGUAACCUGCCCUUGACUUUGGGAUAACUUCAGGAAACUGGGGCUAAUACCGGAUAGGAGCUCCUGCUGCAUGGUGGGGGUUGGAAAGUUUCGGCGGUUGGGAUGGACUCGCGGCUUAUCAGCUUGUUGGUGGGGUAGUGGCUUACCAAGGCUUUGACGGGUAGCCGGCCUGAGAGGGUGACCGGCCACAUUGGGACUGAGAUACGGCCCAGACUCCUACGGGAGGCAGCAGUGGGGAAUAUUGCACAAUGGGCGGAAGCCUGAUGCAGCAACGCCGCGUGCGGGAUGACGGCCUUCGGGUUGUAAACCGCUUUCGCCUGUGACGAAGCGUGAGUGACGGUAAUGGGUAAAGAAGCACCGGCUAACUACGUG
rnacentral:rRNA from 1 species